rnacentral:lncRNA from 1 species
AAAUGAGAAAACGUGUUUUUUCUGUUUACUAAACUGUUGGGUGGGACACAAAGUUAAGUUCUGUUGUAAUAAAUAUGAGAUAAAGAUGAUUAUGUCUAGAAUGCUUACGUAGAAAAUAUCUUGUAAUUUACAAAUGAUUUAGGGCUUGGUAAAAGUAAACCACUUUGUUCACAUUGACAGCAGAGGGAAUAAUCUUUAACAUUCUAUGAUUUUUUUUCCAAUUAUAGAGAAAUGCUUACAGAAGGAAAUGGGAAAUACAGAAAAAUAUAAAAGAUAAAAAUCAUAAUCUCAUAAUGUUUCUGGUAAUUCUAUAAAA